rnacentral:rRNA from 1 species
GAUGAACGCUAGCGGCAGGCCUAAUACAUGCAAGUCGAACGGUGUCUUCGGACAUAGUGGCGCACGGGUGCGUAACACGUAUGCAACCUACCUUACAUUGGGGGAUAGCCUUUCGAAAGGGAGAUUAAUACCGCAUAAGACAGUAGCUGGGCAUCCAGCAGCUGUUAAAGAUUUAUCGAUGUAAGCUGGGCAUGCGUCCAAUUAGCUAGUUGGUGAGGUAACGGCUCACCAAGGCAAUGAUUGGUAGGGGAACUGAGAGGUCAAUCCCCCACACUGGCACUGAGAUACGGUCCAGACUCCUGCGAGAGGCAGCAGUAGGGAAUAUUGGGCAAUGGACGCAAGUCUGACACAGCCAUGCCGCGUGCAGGAUGAAGGCGUUAUGCGUUGUAAACUGCUUUUAUACAGGAAGAAACGACUCUUGCGAGAGGCAUUGACGGUACUGUAUGAAUAAGCACCGGCUAACUCCGUGCCAGCCGCCGCCGUAAGAC